rnacentral:rRNA from 1 species
UAUAACGCGAAGACCUUACCAGGUCUUGACAUCUUCUGACAGUCUAAGAGAUUAGAGGUUCCCUUCGGGGACAGAAUGACAGGUGGUGCAUGGUUGUCGUCAGCUCGUGUCGUGAGAUGUUGGGUUAAGUCCCGCAACGAGCGCAACCCUUAUUACUAGUUGCCAGCAUUAAGUUGGGCACUCUAGUGAGACUGCCGGUGACAAACCGGAGGAAGGUGGGGACGACGUCAAAUCAUCAUGCCCCUUAUGACCUGGGCUACACACGUGCUACAAUGGAUGGUACAACGAGUCGCGAGACCGCGAGGUUAAGCUAAUCUCUUAAAACCAUUCUCAGUUCGGACUGUAGGCUGCAACUCGCCUACACGAAGUCGGAAUCGCUAGUAAUCGCGGAUCAGCAUGCCGCGGUGAAUACGUUCCCGGGUCUGUACACACCG